rnacentral:rRNA from 1 species
GACGAACGCUGGCGGCGUGCUUAACACAUGCAAGUCGAACGGAAAGGCCCCUUCGGGGGUACUCGAGUGGCGAACAGGUGAGUAACACGUGAGUAACCUGCCCUUGACUUCGGGAUAACUUCAGGAAACUGGGGCUAAUACCGGAUAGGAAUCCUUGCUUCAUGGUGGGGGUUGGAAAGCUUCGGCGGUUUUGGAUGGACUCGCGGCUUAUCAGCUUGUUGGUGGGGUAGUGGCUUACCAAGGCUUUGACGGGUAGCCGGCCUGAGAGGGCGACCGGCCACAUUGGGACUGAGAUACGGCCCAGACUCCUACGGGAGGCAGCAGGGGGGAAUAUUGCACAAUGGGCGGAAGCCUGAUGAAGCAACGCCGCGGGCGGGAUGACGGCCUUCGGGUUGUAAACCGAUUUCAGCAGGGGCGAAGCUUGUGGUGACGGUACCUGCAGAAGAAGCACCGGCUAACUACGUG